rnacentral:lncRNA from 1 species
AUGAAACUGUGGUGCUGCUGUUGCCUCAUCUGGAGCAGCCUGUGGAAAGAAGGGUGGUGGCCCAACCAGAGGGAAGGAGGGCAGACCUUCCCCAGGGAAGAUGGAGCACCCACAGAGGACAGGCAGGUGUCUCAGUCUAUGAGGAAACAGAACAAAGUUGACGCCACAUGCCUUUCAACCGUGCUGAUGCUUUUGGUUUUUGUAAAGGUGCUCACCUCUGUGGGAAAAGGGUUCAUAGGAAACUGACAUUUAGAACCAAGACUAAAAGAAUUGUGAAACUCAGCAAGUAAUAUCUGGCAGAAUUAAUUUUUUUUCAUCUGGAAAUUGUCAGAGAGAUAAUCAAGUGUUCCUCGAGGAAUAAGAACAAAAGAUGAAAGUUUAAUACAAUUCAAUUUAACAAACAUUUAUUAAGUGCCCAGAGUUUUUCCCAGGGAUCAUCUGGGCCAGUUUCUGAGAAGAUCUGAUCAACGCCCUAAGGGAGGAGGAGGGUUUUAUCAAUGGGUCUGAGACUGGAUGAACAAGGACAGCAGAUUUACCUUUGAGACCCAGACACAGUUGAAUAUGGUCCUGAGUAAGUAGCUGAGCUUCAGAAGGGAAAAAAAAAAAUGUGCACAAUAGCUUGGAAAAUCUAAAACACGAGGUAAUCAAAAAUGUUAUUUUAUGAUAGGCUUUAGCAUGUAGUUCAUUAUUUUGUAGGGCAAGUUUACUUUCCCAGUUGUAAGUUAUCUUGAGCUGAUCCAUAAAGUCUACAGGGGAAAAGCUUUUCAAGAAUUUUACAUUUCUGAAAUUAGGCUCCCAGCAGUCAACAUAGGAAAAGUGGUACAUUUUCGUUUUUCUGAUAAUGAAAAAGAGGAGCCUGGCAUCCCUCCUAUACUUGAUGCCCAAGGGAGACUCCCUUCCUGCUGGAGGUCAGAACCAGCAGUGAGCCACUAGGCGAUUCUGGUUCUUAUAGAGCCUGACAAUAGGGUGGGCAACAAAGAACAGCCUGCUAGGUGUUCAGAAUAAGGGGGUCCCAGCUGCCCGUGAAGCCAGAGAAGAGCUUUGAGCCAUCCUGACCUGCUCAGUCCUGCCCUCCUCACGGCCUGAGUCCUGGACUGCACUAGUAGGACAGGGCAACCCGAAAUGACCUCAUUACGUAUUGUGCCCCUAAUUACACUAGAGACAGGUCUCAGAACAGAAGUGGCAAGUUCACCCUAGGAGGGACUUCUGGUAAAGAGCCCAGGCACCGUGUGAAGACCCUAAGAAACCCCACUUCGGGAAGGGGGUUCAGUUCUUUGUAGGCUUGGGUAAGUACCCUCCAUUUUGUGUCAGCAUCAAACCCCCUCAAUACCCAACACCUGGCCAUCAGAUAGCUGAAAGUCUCAGCUAGAUGAUGAAUUCCCUUAUCCUGUGGGAAAAAGCUGUAAAGAUCAAACCACCUUUCCUGUGGGUGAGCAGGAGCCUGUAGUUUAUGUAAAGGCGUCAGCUCCUGUGGGAAGGAAGGAAACAGGAAAUUUACAUCUGGAACCAGGACUCCAGUGAGAGUGAAACUUAGUAAGUACUAGCUUUACAGCAGAGGUGUUGGUUUAUUUGGUUUGUUUCUGAAUUAUCUGGAAGCUCCAAAGAAAGAACACUUCUCCCCUGAGGAUUCAGUUCCAAACUCCUGACUUCAAACUUCUAAAAAGAUUAAAUGUUAAGGCAGAUGGUAGGCCUGGAAAACUUUAUUUCCCUAUAUAAUAACUAGACACCUACCUUGCUUAUUUAUUCUGUUUAGGAAGUGGGGAGGAGGACUAGACACCCUUGGGGCAGGGCUGUGGGGAGCAUUGCACAGCAUUUUUAGAUAAAUCCAGAGAAUCAAAUCAAAAACUAUUAGCUCAGAAAGCCCUUAAAGACCAUCUAACUCACUGCUUUAAUUUUGCAAAUAAGGACAGGGAAACUCAGAGAGGUUGUUGUAAACUUGCUCAGGGUCACACAGCUGAGCCUGGUCCAGGGCAAAGCCAAGACAGCCCAUAGCUCUGACCCGGCCUGACCCAAGGGAGAAAAAAACAUCUUGGUCUUUGGCCAUAGCAGUGCCAUUUGCGCCCCAGACAUUCUUUCUCCAAGACUUAAUGGACUUGAAACAGAACCUCAAAGUGCCAAAGGGAGAUAAAAUCAUUGCCCGUCUAUUGCGGAUGAAGUAAGAACAAUAGCUGAACUCGAUAUUUGGAGAAAGGCUCAGCCAUCUACAGACUCUGGGGCAGAGAUAGAAAAAGUCAAAAUGAAAAUGCUGGUCUUGUCUUCAGACAAUGACUAUGACCAUCAAACAUCUACCUAAAAAUACUGCAGAGCUAAUUUCUUUCCCACUGGGAGUUUAUAUUCUAUGAGAGAUCGCACCCAGCAAUGCAAUUGCUUUGGGCCGCAGAAUAUGUAUACCGAAUUGGCUUGCUAAGCCUUCUGGUGUCUUAAAGUGGCAAUCAUAUCUCUGGAUAUCUCCCUCAGCCCUGAAGCCCUGGGCUGCCAGAAAGAAACAUACCGUCACCCUACCCUGUCCUAAAGAUGUGGAGGUUAAAGAAGUUAGUUAUCACUUAGUUCUUGGGAAGCUCUGCAAAGCUGAGUUCAUUAAGUUGAUGCCACAGGUUUUUGCAAAGGCCCUCAGCAUAGUGUCC